UUACUUGUAGCUUAGUGGUUAGAGUGCUCGCUUUGUAAGUGAGAGGACCCAGGUUCGAUACCUGGGCGGGUAAA